UUAAGCGACUAAGCGUACACGGUGGAUGCCCUGGCAGUCAGAGGCGAUGAAGGACGUGCUAAUCUGCGAUAAGCGUCGGUAAGGUGAUAUGAACCGUUAUAACCGGCGAUUUCCGAAUGGGGAAACCCAGUGUGAUUCGUCACACUAUCAUUAACUGAAUCCAUAGGUUAAUGAGGCGAACCGGGGGAACUGAAACAUCUAAGUACCCCGAGGAAAAGAAAUCAACCGAGAUUCCCCCAGUAGCGGCGAGCGAACGGGGAGGAGCCCAGAGCCUGAAUCAGUGUGUGUUAGUGGAAGCGUCUGGAAAGGCGCGCGAUACAGGGUGACAGCCCCGUACACAAAAAUGCACAUGCUGUGAGCUCGAUGAGUAGGGCGGGACACGUGGUAUCCUGUCUGAAUAUGGGGGGACCAUCCUCCAAGGCUAAAUACUCCUGACUGACCGAUAGUGAACCAGUACCGUGAGGGAAAGGCGAAAAGAACCCCGGCGAGGGGAGUGAAAAAGAACCUGAAACCGUGUACGUACAAGCAGUGGGAGCACGCUUAGGCGUGUGACUGCGUACCUUUUGUAUAAUGGGUCAGCGACUUAUAUUCUGUAGCAAGGUUAACCGAAUAGGGGAGCCGAAGGGAAACCGAGUCUUAACUGGGCGUUAAGUUGCAGGGUAUAGACCCGAAACCCGGUGAUCUAGCCAUGGGCAGGUUGAAGGUUGGGUAACACUAACUGGAGGACCGAACCGACUAAUGUUGAAAAAUUAGCGGAUGACUUGUGGCUGGGGGUGAAAGGCCAAUCAAACCGGGAGAUAGCUGGUUCUCCCCGAAAGCUAUUUAGGUAGCGCCUCGUGAAUUCAUCUCCGGGGGUAGAGCACUGUUUCGGCAAGGGGGUCAUCCCGACUUACCAACCCGAUGCAAACUGCGAAUACCGGAGAAUGUUAUCACGGGAGACACACGGCGGGUGCUAACGUCCGUCGUGAAGAGGGAAACAACCCAGACCGCCAGCUAAGGUCCCAAAGUCAUGGUUAAGUGGGAAACGAUGUGGGAAGGCCCAGACAGCCAGGAUGUUGGCUUAGAAGCAGCCAUCAUUUAAAGAAAGCGUAAUAGCUCACUGGUCGAGUCGGCCUGCGCGGAAGAUGUAACGGGGCUAAACCAUGCACCGAAGCUGCGGCAGCGACGCUGAUGCGUUGUUGGGUAGGGGAGCGUUCUGUAAGCCUGCGAAGGUGUGCUGUGAGGCAUGCUGGAGGUAUCAGAAGUGCGAAUGCUGACAUAAGUAACGAUAAAGCGGGUGAAAAGCCCGCUCGCCGGAAGACCAAGGGUUCCUGUCCAACGUUAAUCGGGGCAGGGUGAGUCGACCCCUAAGGCGAGGCCGAAAGGCGUAGUCGAUGGGAAACAGGUUAAUAUUCCUGUACUUGGUGUUACUGCGAAGGGGGACGGAGAAGGCUAUGUUGGCCGGGCGACGGUUGUCCCGGUUUAAGCGUGUAGGCUGGUUUUCCAGGCAAAUCCGGAAAAUCAAGGCUGAGGCGUGAUGACGAGGCACUACGGUGCUGAAGCAACAAAUGCCCUGCUUCCAGGAAAAGCCUCUAAGCAUCAGGUAACAUCAAAUCGUACCCCAAACCGACACAGGUGGUCAGGUAGAGAAUACCAAGGCGCUUGAGAGAACUCGGGUGAAGGAACUAGGCAAAAUGGUGCCGUAACUUCGGGAGAAGGCACGCUGAUAUGUAGGUGAAGUCCCUCGCGGAUGGAGCUGAAAUCAGUCGAAGAUACCAGCUGGCUGCAACUGUUUAUUAAAAACACAGCACUGUGCAAACACGAAAGUGGACGUAUACGGUGUGACGCCUGCCCGGUGCCGGAAGGUUAAUUGAUGGGGUCAGCGCAAGCGAAGCUCUUGAUCGAAGCCCCGGUAAACGGCGGCCGUAACUAUAACGGUCCUAAGGUAGCGAAAUUCCUUGUCGGGUAAGUUCCGACCUGCACGAAUGGCGUAAUGAUGGCCAGGCUGUCUCCACCCGAGACUCAGUGAAAUUGAACUCGCUGUGAAGAUGCAGUGUACCCGCGGCAAGACGGAAAGACCCCGUGAACCUUUACUAUAGCUUGACACUGAACAUUGAGCCUUGAUGUGUAGGAUAGGUGGGAGGCUUGGAAGUGUGGACGCCAGUCUGCAUGGAGCCGACCUUGAAAUACCACCCUUUAAUGUUUGAUGUUCUAACGUGGACCCGUGAUCCGGGUUGCGGACAGUGUCUGGUGGGUAGUUUGACUGGGGCGGUCUCCUCCUAAAGAGUAACGGAGGAGCACGAAGGUUGGCUAAUCCUGGUCGGACAUCAGGAGGUUAGUGCAAUGGCAUAAGCCAGCUUGACUGCGAGCGUGACGGCGCGAGCAGGUGCGAAAGCAGGUCAUAGUGAUCCGGUGGUUCUGAAUGGAAGGGCCAUCGCUCAACGGAUAAAAGGUACUCCGGGGAUAACAGGCUGAUACCGCCCAAGAGUUCAUAUCGACGGCGGUGUUUGGCACCUCGAUGUCGGCUCAUCACAUCCUGGGGCUGAAGUAGGUCCCAAGGGUAUGGCUGUUCGCCAUUUAAAGUGGUACGCGAGCUGGGUUUAGAACGUCGUGAGACAGUUCGGUCCCUAUCUGCCGUGGGCGCUGGAGAACUGAGGGGGGCUGCUCCUAGUACGAGAGGACCGGAGUGGACGCAUCACUGGUGUUCGGGUUGUCAUGCCAAUGGCACUGCCCGGUAGCUAAAUGCGGAAGAGAUAAGUGCUGAAAGCAUCUAAGCACGAAACUUGCCCCGAGAUGAGUUCUCCCUGACUCCUUGAGAGUCCUGAAGGAACGUUGAAGACGACGACGUUGAUAGGCCGGGUGUGUAAGCGCAGCGAUGCGUUGAGCUAACCGGUACUAAUGAACCGUGAGGCUUAACCU
rnacentral:rRNA from 1 species